AACAGCGUAAUUUUAUUUGAGAGUUCUAAUCGAAAAUAAAGUUUGCGACCUCGAUGUUG
rnacentral:tRNA from 1 species